GGGUGGGUCAUCAAACUGUCAAAGACCAAACUGUCAAAGUGCUGAGACGACUGACUAAGCCGUAUUUCUUUUGCUGUCGAGACGCUGUCCGAGAAGGUUGAAUAUUGUCCUUGCUGGGUACUUUCUUACGUGACAUUUUUCACCACAGACAUGGAUUUCUUGGUUAGUUUGAUGUUGGAGCUGCCAAUGGUGUUGAUGCAGCGUUCAUGGUGUGAGCAGUGGUUUUGCAGUCAUUUUCCAGUCGAGAUGCCUUGAAAUGGAACUUGUGCAGAAAUUCAGUUCAAUAUCAUACUUCAAUGUGUUAUUUGCCUAUGUUGAUGUUGCAUUGUUGAGCUGUUGUACAAAAUAGUCAAUGUUGCCUGGUGGCUGUCGGGUAUGUUUUAUCGGCUGCCUUUUGUCGAUGUGUCGUCUCGUCUCUAGCCACCUGUACACACGUUAAGUUCAAUCGUACGCCGCCGUUCCAGACUUGAUCCAUUGGCGAAGCCGAAAAGAGGUUGCUGAAAUUCAAGACUGAAAAAUUAAUUAGACUGGACAAUU